GGCCGUGUAGCUCAGUGGAUAGAGCGUCGGUUUCCGGAGCCGAAAGUCGCAGGUUCGACCCCUGUCUCGGUCG